ACGGAAGGCAGCAGUGAGGAAUAUUGGGCAAUGGGCGAAAGCCUGACCCAGCAACGCCGCGUGAAGGAUGAAGGUCUUCGGAUUGUAAACUUCUUUUCUUGGAGACGAUAGUGACGGUAUUCAAGGAAUAAGCCACGGCUAACUACGUGCCAGCAGCCGCGGUAAUACGUAGGUGACAAGCGUUGUCCGGAUUUACUGGGUGUAAAGGGCGAGUAGGCGGAUCAGCAAGUCAGGUGUGAAAUGCGGAGGCUUAACCUCCGAACUGCACUUGAAACUGUUGAUCUUGAGUGAUGGAGAGGCAGAUAGAAUUCCCGGUGUAGCGGUGGAAUGCGUAGAUAUCGGGAGGAAUACCGGUGGCGAAGGCGGUCUGCUGGACAUUAACUGACGCUGAGGAGCGAAAGCGUGGGGAGCAAACAGGAUUAGAUACCCUGGUA
rnacentral:rRNA from 1 species